rnacentral:misc_RNA from 1 species
AAAUAAACUAAUUAAGAGAAUAAAAUGAUCACAAUAACAAAAAUAUUGCUCAGCUCAUAUGAGCUUGGAAGAAGUGUGGUUUCGAUUGUUGCUAAUUCAACAAACAAUGUAUUGGAUCAUCUUUUAGUACAAGUGUAUUAAAGAUAAAAGUAACAAAAUAAAACUAAUUACAGGAAUACAAUUAGAAAACUAGUUAUUCAUAGAAAUAG